AGCUCCAAUAGCGUAUAUUAAAGUUGCUGCAGUUAAAAAGCUCGUAGUUGGAUCUUGGGAGCGGGCGGGCGGUCCGCCGCGAGGCGAGCCACCGCCCGUCCCCGCCCCUUGCCUCUCGGCGCCCCCUCGAUGCUCUUAGCUGAGUGUCCCGCGGGGCCCGAAGCGUUUACUUUGAAAAAAUUAGAGUGUUCAAAGCAGGCCCGAGCCGCCUGGAUACCGCAGCUAGGAAUAAUGGAAUAGGACCGCGGUUCUAUUUUGUUGGUUUUCGGAACUGAGGCCAUGAUUAAGAGGGACGGCCGGGGGCAUUCGUAUUGCGCCGCUAGAGGUGAAAUUCUUGGACCGGCGCAAGACGGACCAGAGCGAAAGCAUUUGCCAAGAAUGUUUUCA
rnacentral:rRNA from 3 species